rnacentral:rRNA from 1 species
UACGGAGGGGGCUAGCGUUGUCCGGAAUUAUUGGGCGUAAAGAGCUCGUAGGCGGUUUGUUGCGUCGGCUGUGAAAUCCCGAGGCUCAACCUCGGGUCUGCAGUCGAUACGAGCAAACUAGAGUGUUGCAGGGGAGACUGGAAUUCCUGGUGUAGCGGUGAAAUGCGCAGAUAUCAGGAGGAACACCGGUGGCGAAGGCGGGUCUCUGGGCAACAACUGACGCUGAGGAGCGAAAGCGUGGGGAGCGAACAGG